rnacentral:rRNA from 1 species
GAUGAACGCUAGCUACAGGCUUAACACAUGCAAGUCGAGGGGUAACGAGAGGAAAGCUUGCUUUCCUUGUCGACGACCGGCGCACGGGUGAGUAACGCGUAUCCAACCUGCCCCCAACUAGGGAAUAACCUUGCGAAAGUAAGACUAAUACCCUAUAAUUUCCUCAGAUGCCAUCUGACGAGGAAUAAAGAUUUAUCGGUUGUGGAUGGGGAUGCGUCUGAUUAGCUUGUUGGCGGGGUAUCGGCCCACCAAGGCAACGAUCAGUAGGGGUUCUGAGAGGAAGGUCACCCCCAUUGAGACUGAGACACGGUCCAAACUCCUACGGGAGGCAGCAGUGAGGAAUAUUGGUCAAUGGGCGGAAGCCUGAACCAGCCAAGUAGCGUGCAGGAUGGCGGCCCUAUGGGUUGUAAACUGCUUUUAUACAGGAAUAAAGUUAGCCACGUGUGGUUAUUUGUAGGUACUGUAUGAAUAAGGACCGGCUAAUUCCGUGCCAGCCGCCGCCGUAA